rnacentral:rRNA from 1 species
CCUACGGGGUGCUGCAGUGGGGAAUAUUGGACAAUGGGCGAAAGCCUGAUCCAGCCAUGCCGCGUGUGUGAAGAAGGCCUUCGGGUUGUAAAGCACUUUCAGUGGGGAAGAAAGCCUUGGGGCUAAUACCCUCGAGGAAGGACAUCACCCACAGAAGAAGCACCGGCUAACUCCGUGCCAGCAGCCGCGGUAAUACGGAGGGUGCGAGCGUUAAUCGGAAUUACUGGGCGUAAAGCGCGCGUAGGCGGUCUGAUAAGCCGGUUGUGAAAGCCCCGGGCUCAACCUGGGAACGGCAUCCGGAACUGUCAGGCUAGAGUGCAGGAGAGGAAGGUAGAAUUCCCGGUGUAGCGGUGAAAUGCGUAGAGAUCGGGAGGAAUACCAGUGGCGAAGGCGGCCUUCUGGACUGACACUGACGCUGAGGUGCGAAAGCGUGGGUAGCAAACAGGAUUAGAUACCCGAGUAGC